UCCCUUUAACAGUAUUAACAGUUCAGAGCAGUUCAGAGCACGGACAUUAUUCGCUGUUGUUGUUUUCUACUGAGUGCAUUCAUACACAAAACCACUCAUGCUAAGCUACACCCCAAACUACUCUGUACUACUCUGCCAUACUCUCUGCUGCCUGUACUACAAUCAUUCACUCAACCAAAUUCAAGGACUGUAAACCUCUACAAGUCUUAAACCAUUAAAGUGUACUUCGUCUCUGACCGGACGACUUGUGUCUGCUCAAUUUCCACCAGCACCCACACUAGUCUAGCUCACAAUUAUGAAUGACAACGAUCGAUCGCUUUCAAAGAAGCACUGAAUGGUACUGACGUCACCCGCGCCUCCAGUGCAAGGUGGUCCCGCCCACAGGCCAAUCGGGAUGCAGGAAAAAGUGGAACUUUCUCGAAGGACCAAUGGCAGGCUACUCUCCAUGACCAUAUCGGGAAGCUCGCUAAGUGGAACAGAGCUCCGACCAAUGGCGAGCCAGACGACGGGCCAAUCAGGAUGCAGGAUAAGUGAAACAGUGGGACAGAAGUGGAACCGAAGAUAGGCUCGCACGGGGCGCAAGGAUGACAUGCAAAUUCGUGAAGCGUUCCUCAUUUUUGAACGAUUUUUAAUCGUUAAACGUAAUUAAGAUUAAGCUGGAUUUAAAAAAGUCUUUGACGUACGGAGAAAGUGCCUAAAACAUGCACGUAUAUCAAACUUUGUGAAUUGACAGUGUGGAGGCAUUUUAUUCACCAUUGAUUUAUGAUGUAGCAGCAUCCCAGUACAACACAGUCCAGGGGCCCCAGUUUACCCCCCUCUCGCAGUGUGAACUUUGCUGACUGUCUCUGUAAAUACAAGAACACUGUAAAAAAUUAUGUGUCAACAGAAAAGCAACAAAAAAAAAAAAACUUCAAACUAAGGACAACUUCAUAAAGUAAAAGUAGUACCGAAUACAGAGCCGGCGGUUAAUGUGAGAGGCCAGGACCCCCUUACUGCCUCAAUGCUGGCAGCUGCACCCUUGAAAGAGCAGAAACAACUCCUGGGUGAGCGGCUGUAUCCACUUAUCCAGGCCUUGCAUCCGACUCUUGCGGGAAAGAUUACAGGCAUGCUGCUGGAGAUUGACAACUCUGAACUACUGCACAUGCUCGAGUCUCCAGAGUCCCUGCACUCCAAGGUUGAAGAGGCUGUAGCGGUGCUUCAGGCUCAUCAAGCCAAGGAACUGUCCUGACGUUGGGGGUUGGGAGCUGCAGUGCUGGGGGAGGAGAACGGAUCACAUGACCUGAAUGCGUCAGCACCAAGCGGCAACCUCCCGCUCUCUCUCGUGAAGCCAACAAGGAA